CCUACGGGGAGCAGCAGUGGGGAAUAUUGGACAAUGGGCGAAAGCCUGAUCCAGCCAUGCCGCGUGUGUGAAGAAGGCCUUCGGGUUGUAAAGCACUUUCAGUGGGGAAGAAAGCCUUGGGGCUAAUACCCUCGAGGAAGGACAUCACCCACAGAAGAAGCACCGGCUAACUCCGUGCCAGCAGCCGCGGUAAUACGGAGGGUGCGAGCGUUAAUCGGAAUUACUGGGCGUAAAGCGCGCGUAGGCGGUCUGAUAAGCCGGUUGUGAAAGCCCCGGGCUCAACCUGGGAACGGCAUCCGGAACGGUAAGGCUAGAGUGCAGGAGAGGAGGGUAGAAUUCCCGGUGUAGCGGUGAAAUGCGUAGAGAUCGGGAGGAAUACCAGUGGCGAAGGCGGCCUUCUGGACUGACACUGACGCUGAGGUGCGAAAGCGUGGGUAGCAAACAGGAUUAGAUACCCUUGUAGUC
rnacentral:rRNA from 1 species